rnacentral:rRNA from 1 species
UACGAAGGGGGCUAGCGUUGUUCGGAAUUACUGGGCGUAAAGCGCGCGUAGGCGGCUUGAUCAGUCAGAGGUGAAAUCCCAGGGCUCAACCCUGGAACUGCCUUUGAUACUGUCAAGCUAGAGCUCGGAAGAGGGUGGCGGAAUAUCCAGUGUAGAGGUGAAAUUCGUAGAUAUUGGAUAGAACACCAGUGGCGAAGGCGGCCACCUGGUCCGUAGCUGACGCUGAGGUGCGAAAGCGUGGGGAGCAAACAGG